ensembl:snRNA U4 U4 spliceosomal RNA
AGCUUUGCGCAGUGGCAGUAUCAGAGCCAAUGAGGUUUAUCCAAGGCACGAUUAUUGCUAAUUGAAAACAGAAGGGAAGACAGGUGACUUUACCCGCCCUUAAAUAAAG